CGAGGAAGCGCUUCAGCUUCUGGAGACGCCUGGGCCAGGCGGUCCUGCUCCAUCGACCACGAGUACCCGGAUCCCGGGUACCACACCUGGGACGCGGAACUGCGGAAGAUCCACAGGGCGGCAGUGAGGGGCGACGCCGCAGAGGUGGAGCGCCGCCGCAGAGGUCGAGCGCCGCCAGAUGCGCAGAAGCCGGGACUUGUACGCCCGCGACAGGAAAGAC
rnacentral:lncRNA from 1 species